rnacentral:rRNA from 1 species
CGGUUGAUCCUGCCGGAGGCCACCGCUAUUGGAAUCCGAUUAAGCCAUGCGAGUCGAGACAGCUCUGGCGCGUCGGCAUACUGCUCAGUACCACGUAGACAAUCUAUCCUUGAGUGGGGGAUAAACUUGGAAACCUGAGUAUAAUACCCCAUAGGCCUAGAAUGCUGGAAUGCUUCUAGGCCGAAAGCUCCGGCGCUCAAGGAUGAGUCUGCGGCCUAUCAGGUUGUAGUGGGUGUAAAGUACCCACUAACCUUUGACGGGUACGGGCCUUGAGAGAGGUUGCCCGGAGUUGGACUCUUAGACACGAGUCCAGGCCCUACGGGGCGCAGCAGGCGCGAAAACUUCACAAUGUGGGAAACCACGAUGAGGGGAUUCCAAGUGCCAACACAUUGUGUUGGCUGUUCAUCUGCCUAAAAAGCAGGUGAAGUAAGGGCCGGGUAAGACGGGUGCCAGCCGCCGCGGUAAUACCCGCGGCCCGAGUGGUGGCCAUUAUUAUUGAGCCUAAAGCGUCCGUAGCCGGUUUAGUAAAUCUCUGGGUAAAUCGGGCAGCUUAACUGUCCGAAUUCCGGAGAGACUGCUAAACUUGGGACCGGGGGAGGUUGGAGGUACUCCUGGGGUAGGGGUGAAAUCCUGUAAUCCUGGGGGGACCACCAGUGGCGAAGGCGUCCAACCAAAACGGCUCCGACGGUAAGGGACGAAGCCUUGGGGCGCAAACGGGAUUAGAUACCCCGGUAGUCCAAGGUGUAAACGCUGCAGGUUUGGUGUUGGGGGUCCCACGAGGGCGCCCAGUGCCGGAGAGAAGUUGUUAAACCUGCCGCUUGGGGAGUACGUCCGCAAGGAUGAAACUUAAAGGAAUUGGCGGGGGAGCAC